GCCCCCGUGGUGUAACGUGUAGCAUCGCUGCCCGAAAAGCAGAGGGUGCAGGUUCGAGUCCCGCCUGGAGCA
rfam:Heligmosomoides polygyrus genome assembly, scaffold: HPBE_contig0000021